rnacentral:sRNA from 1 species
CUUGAGGAAGUUGGCGAUCCAGUAGCUGGACUGCUUGUGGUAGCGCUUGAGAUUGUUGAGGCGGUCGAUGUAGAUGAGGCCGAAUCGGUCGAGGUAUCCGUCGCCCCACUCGAAGCAGUCCAUGAACGUCCAGGUGAAGUAGCCCUUCACGUUCACCCCGUUCUUGAUGGCGUGGUUGACGAACUGCAGGUGUUUCGAGUGGAACUCGAUCCUAUGCCCGUCCUUGAGCGCCUCCGUGAUUGGCAAGCUCUUGUUGUUCCCCUCGGCGAUUCCUGCAAUCACACAUGAAAAUGAUCGGGUUGUUGUACCUCCUCUUGGUGUAGAGGAGUAGCUCGCGGAGACCCGGAGGGUAGAGGAGUCGAUCUAUGUACGUACCUGCGGACCAAUGGGUUUGCCGUUGCGGAAGCCAGUGGUGUUGGCGCGGAUGUCGGUGUCGUAGGAGAGCCUGUUUGAGCUGGGCAGCGGCACGCUCUUGGCGUAGUAGGUGGUGUAGUAGUUGACGCCGAUGAAGUCAUAGGAUCCCCUCACCGCUGCCGCCUGCUCCGCCGUGAACGCCGGCAGCCGCGCCCCGAGCCACCCCCUCAUCGUGCCUGGGUAGUCGCCGUGCACGAUGGGGUCCAGGAACCAUCCGUACAUGAAGUCGAGGCUGCGUUGCACAACGCGGCGGUCAGCGGCCGUGUCAUUAUACGGCACGAACCAGUGCGACACCGCCGUGAUGCCGAUCUGCCCGUGCUGCGUGGGUUGGUACUUGGUGCGGUAGAGGUGGACGGCGGUGGCAUGGGCGAGGAUGACGUGGUGCGCUGCUAGGUAAGGCUCGCGGCUGGAGUCGCCGCCGGCACAGGAGGUGGAGACGUAGGGGGAGCACCGGCCCAAGGCGUGGAUGCCGGUGCCGUAGCCCUGGGAGCAGUAGGUCCAUGGCUCGUUGAAGGUGGCCCAGAACUUGACACGGUCGCCGAACUCCCGGAAGCACACUUCGGCGAAGUCCACAUAAUCCUUCAUGAUAUUCUCACUCAGGAAUCCUCCGUAUUUGCUCUCAAGGGCCUGUGGUGUGUCCCAGUGGAAGAUUGUGACAAAUGGCUUCAUCCCUUCAUCUUAACUGUCUAAAACGUCAACUAAUUCAGUCCGGAGAUGGUAGAAUUAACUUCACUCACUUGGCAGGAUCCGGCUCCAAGAAAUGGAAAACCGGAAGGCGUCCAUGUUCAUGUCUUUGAGAAGGUUUACAUCCUCCU